rnacentral:lncRNA from 1 species
AAAGAAACUGAUAGUCCAGUGAAGACUUAUGACCAUCUAUUACAGUCCCCAGGUGGAGCUCUAUUAUUUUUGUGGUUUUUGGCAUGACCAAUAGGAGGUAUUAACCAGUGAGUCUGUGUAUAGUGGAUGGGAAUGUGUUCACUUGUGUGCAUUUCCCCAGAAGAUAUGUUCCCACGUUCACAGCACAACACAAAUGGCAAUUUUCUAAAAAUAAAAAUCCCACAUCCCUGCACACUUAAUAUAAAUCAAUUUAUUCAGCCAUCUCCCCAGCAGAAUCUGAAAGUUAGUUUAAUGUCACCAAUUCUUAGAUGGACAUGAUUUAGGGAUGAGUGAUCAGACUCUUGACCCUGUAAGUAGAAUAGGCACAUGUGAACCCAGGCACUGGUCCCAGUGGUGAUACUCUGGGCUACAAAAUUGUAUUCAUAAUUCAGCUAUGGAAUAACUUAAGUCACCAGGCUAGGGAGUUCAGCACAUCUGUUUGGCUCUGGAAGGAUUAUAUUUACAGAGGUCCCAAACAUUGUCAAUCAUUAUGUGAUCCCUAUAGUCGAGUAACCUAGAGUGCAUUAGGUACAUUUAACAUCAGACUUUGGUACUGACAAUAAUGCAAAGGACACAUAGCCCACCAUUUACCAGGGUUCUGGUAAAUUCACAUAUUUUGACAGGUGUGAGGCACCUAGUAGGAUAGUCAAGGUUCACACCUGCUAGUGCUGGGGUUCUUGCUGUCUGUGAACAAGAAUCAAGAAGUUAUUCUGUAGUAUUUAAUAAUAUGACUACCACUAGCUUUAGAAAUGCUCAACCUCAUUAGUACACAAAAUCAAGGGAUAGUGACAAAUAAGAACUAAACUACAACUUAGAUGUUAGCCUUGGUUUAUCACCCUUGUUGCAAAUCUCCCUUCCAGCUGGGUUAGGGUGUCAGCACUCACCACUGCUGAACUCCAUCAUGAACUGACCCACUAUUCCAGGACUAGUGUGAGUGUGAGCAGCAAGUGACACAGUGGAUAUGCAUCUUGUGUAGAAAAGGCAGAAAGGGCCACGUAUGGUAUAUACACCUCUAAUCCCAUCUGCUCUGGAGGUUGAGGCAGGACUGACCACAAUUUUGAGGCCAGUCUGGGCAACCUAGUGAUAACCACUCUCAAGAGUGCUAGGGGUGUAGCUUAGUGCUAGAGUGCUUGCCUAGCAUGCAAAAGGCCUUGGGUUUGAUCCCAAAUAAUGGAAAGAAAGGAAGGAAAAAGAUUUAGGGAGGGAUCAGUAGUGGUUAUUUUUAAAUGGUAAGAUUUUAAUGUUUUAAAAUCUUUAGUGACAAAUUAUUUUUUAUAAAAAUUAGAAAGUAAAUGUAGUAGAAUAUUUUGUCUAUAAUUGAAUCCAGUCUGCCAAACAAUGUUGCUAUUAAUAAAGUAAAAAACCUUUUAAAGAGACAAUAUUCAUAGUAGCAGCAUUUGUGCAUCCAGGGGUAAAAUGUGAUCUUGGAAGAUAUCAAGAAGAUUAUGACCAUUUAGCUCUGCAUCUGAAUGGGCAAGAAGAGGCCUGGGACUCAAUUAUUGAAACACAGCAUGGACUUUAGUGUUUAUUUCCUUUUUAGACUAUUUCACAUCAAUUAGUUUGAUUUUGGCUUGAAAGCCAAAGGCUCUGUUUCUCAUCUCUUUCCUGUUCCAUUCCUUUGACUUUCACGCUUGCCGUGCAUCCAUAUCAAGUAAUGCCCCUCAAUAAUUCAUGAGCAGAAACAACCAGAUACUGACAAUUACUCUUUGUCUUCUUAGUUUCCUCUGAGGACUUGUUGGAAUCACUUGCAAGUGACAGCAACGACAAGGAGGACCCACUGAAUGUCCUGGUAAGGUCUCAUUGUCUUCGUUUGAAAUGGAAGUAUUGUCUUCUUGGUUUCUUUCUACUGAAAAUCUGAAGAUGCAUAGUUUAGAUGAUAUAUACAGUUUCCUUGGUGAAGAGUCUAUUAGCAACUGAUACCAGAUUCAAGACAAUUUUUAAAAAUCACAUGAUCAUUUUAAAGUGUAUAGUUGAAAGCAUUUUCCUCAGCAACUCCCUGGAAAAUAAUUUUGUAAUUUCCAACCACAAGAGACUUUAGAUAUACGUCACCCGGGAAGAUGUGAUGUCCUGGCGAAAGUAGGUUUGAUCUGUCCUUGCCUUUGGGUUCUUCUGACUUGACCUGCUUUCCAUCUGUUUUCCUAAUGUCACAAAAUGAAGAAGAGAAUCAGGAUGGACUGUCAACAUUAGUGAUCCUUUCUCUGUAAUUACAGGUGGAUGCAAGAGGAACUGAAAAUGGUAUGCACUGUGGAAUCACUCACUUGCUGAUGAAUUGUCUAGAUGAUGAGGAAGGUGGAACUGUCUUGCUAACUUUCAUGUGGACAGCCGCCCUGAUUCCAACUGUCUGCCAUGGAUAAGGACUGGGGUAUGGUGGUAGGAACUGAUUUUCCAGUUGAACUGAUGGCCAUUCUUCAUUUCCUCUGAAAGCAACUUGUUCCCUUUAGGUGGUAUGAGGAUAUGUGUUUAGGGAAGCAGUGUGUCUGUGUGUGCAUUUGUGUGAUAUUAUUCUGAUUGUGCCUGUGUGUGGGUUUUUGUGUGUUUUACUAAAUAUUUAUUCCCUUAGUCACCAGUGUGAAUGUUCUCAAUAAAAAUGCUAUCUUUAUUGCAGCAUGAUUAUAAAUAGAUAUAAAUUAAUCAAAUUAUACACUCUAAAUGUGUGCAAUUUACUGCAUGUCAAGUAUACCUCAAUUAACAUGGAAAAUAUCACAUCAAAACCCAGGACAAUGUUCCCAGGAUACAAAGGGGACAAAGAUGUGUUUCAUAAUCCCUGUUAAUGAGCUAGUAGCAACUUCAUUUUAUAAUGAAUCACCUGUCAGCAGGCCUCUAUACUUGUUCUUGGCAUUUGAUUAGUCAUAAUUCUUUAUUCUUGACAAUUUUUUUAUACAUAACCCUUUUCUCAAAAAGACCUUAGAAUUAAUUUAUCCAACCCAGUUUGAACAUGGAGUGCUGGGCAGGGUAUUUCCUUUGUAAUGAAACCCUGAUACAACCACAGUUCUAGUAGAAAUCUAACAGAAAGAGCCUGAAGGCAGAGUUGGGGAAAUUCACUCCAAAUUUCUCCAUGGAGGUCUAAUAAUUGAUAAUGUUACUAAGAGUAGCACAUGCCUUUUGUAUGUGAAAAAUCUGUCUCCCCUCAUUUACUCUGGUCAUGGUUUUGUUGCACUAGACAGAAAUACUGUAAAAUGUAUGGUGAAAAAGAGGUUUGCUUGAGGUACUGAGCAUCAGGUUGAGCUUCCUUUCUAGAAUGACUAAGGGGAAGUCAUUCACUGCAAGGUGGAGAGAGAUAAAUGCAGCCAAGGAAAAGAAUCUCCAUCAUAUCUCCUUGGUUGUUUCUGAGAUCUUUACAAUGAAACAAGGUCAACAUAGUUCUAAGACUAAAUGAAUAUAAAAUAAGCCAAGCAAUGAUUUGAGUUUACUUUGGCAACAUUUUUUUUUGUGGAAAAUAUUGAAUUUUAAUAAAAUUUGAUCACCCUAUAGGUGUGAAUAUUUUCCCCAUAAAAACAAGAUGAGGGUAAUUUUGUCUCAAGUCCAUGGUUUCUGAGGGUAACUAAGUGAAAUUUGUAAAUAUUAGAGUCUUAUAUAUUUACAAGUUUCUAAUAUUUACAAAUUUCACUUAGUUACCCUCAGACUCUAAUAUUUACAAAUUUCACUUAGUUACCCUCAGAAACCAUGGACUUGAGACAAAAUUAUCCUAGAAAUCUUGAAUUUCUAGGUGAUAGCUCACUAAUAAUUCUGCUGUGUGUGAUUAGAGAUAGAAACCAGUGUUACCACCCCUUGGGCUCCAUGAAUUUAUGGAGAGCUGUCCAGUGGAUUCCAUGAGAGAGAGAAGAAGGGCAGAGCAUAGUAUAGACCUUAUGAAGGACAAUAGUUACCAGGCUGGAGGAAGACAUAAAGGAAUCCAUCUCCUGGGAUGAAGGUGGAUGCCAAGGUUGCAGGUCUACAGAAUCAGGCUAAUAUCAUUAUCUGAGCAAGUCAUACAAUUAGGCCCUUCCUGAGUGGGAAUGAGCAAGAUGUUACUCUUACAUGUGACAUAAGCAUUGCACAAUUGUCUCUUAAAAGCCAGGAGAGAGAAGCCUUCUUCAUGUGCAUGUCUUUUCUAUCUCCCUGUGUGAUAGUAAUGACUAUAAUGAUGACAGUUAUACCCACAGAAAAUAGUGAGAGUUAGAGAAAAAGAGUCAGGUGCCCACAUCUCUGGUCCAAACUGGCAGGAAUUAAGUUUAUAGCGAUGGACUUCAGGGUUGGUCCUAAGACUGAAAUUCCAUAUGCUGGGACAGAAGUCCACCUUUUAUUGCUUCUCAAAGUUUUCAGACAAUCAGUUCUCAUGGAGAGAGUGCUGGCUAAGGAUUGUCUGGCCCAGAAAACAUAUUUAAACUGUGUUUGGUCAGUGCAGUUGUAGCACAUUCUAAUGGCAGUGUGGGGGUGGGAUUCAUGGGCUCUACUAUAAGGUAGCUGCUUCCUUGUAUGGUUCAGAGGACAUCAAUUUGAAAGUGUCUCUGACAUAUCCUAAAAUUGCCAGCCUUAGAUUCUGUCUAUGUCCUCCUUUCAUGGGUAGGGGGUCUUGGCCCUGGGCAGUCACUACAUGGGCAGGACCCAUAUACUCUUCAUUCCUUCUCAUUCCUGAGCUUAGUCCUGGUCAGCUUGUCUUAGUUCCAUGAGUAUCUGAUUAAAAUACCCUGGGCUAGGAUCUUCCUCAGGUGGGAAAAGUCUCCUCUUUAAUUCUUCUGUCCUGUUGUGCCCCACCCCAAGGCAGGUGGAUGUUCAGGCUCUGACCCAGGCUCAGGAGGAUAAAGGUAGGCUCCUGAAGACAACAUUGUUUCCCCUGCCUCUUAGCUCUUACUGGGCUCAUCACUUCCGGAUAGGUUUUCCUGGGCACUAUUGGGAAUCCACAUGGGCCUGGACUUUAGCCUCAUUGUUUUAGCAUCUCCAGGAACUCAUAAAAUACUGGCCCUUGUGCAUGUUCUCGGAGUGCACUUGUUAAUGAAUAAUUGGAUCAGGCUAGCAAACUACUCUUAAAGGGAAUGCCAAGGGAAGGGAGGUUUUGUCUUCCCCAUCUUUGGACUUUAGGUCAUUGCCAUUCAAUGUAUAAGUCCUCCAUGGUUGCUACCUAUAUUUAAUUUAAUUUAACUAAAUGAAAUCAAACAUUUGGAACCUCAAGAGAAUAUUCCAACCUCUUGUGGGCAGUUGCUUUCUGAGCCUGGCCUGGGGUCUGUCCAUUGAACUCAUAAAUCUCAAUGCAUAUGCAGCAAAGUUGAAAAUUCAGGUUUGUAUGUUUGGAAGUUAGAAUCAUAAUGGGUUAGUGGAAGUGAGAAGUUGAAAGAUAAUUUAUUCAGCUCCUCUAUUUCCCUUGAAGGUUUGCAACUGAUUGCAAUGUCUUGAUGAAGGCCUCCAAGUCUGUAGAGCCCAGAGCGCAACUUACCACCCAGAGGAAAGAGCUGUGAGAUGUUAUGUGAGCCUGCAUAUCCUCAACUGGUAUAGGGAGCACCAAGUUCAAAUAACUCAUUGUUUAUAUUUGUGUUUCUAAAGAUUUGCUUGUAGAGAAUAUCAGUGACUCCAUAAUGAAAAGGAAGACUCUCCAGGUAUGUAACAAUACUAUAGGUUGGACCCAAUCAGAGCCAGUAUUUGGGAACAAUUGGUUUACACUUGUUGCUUUGGAGCCAGGGGAAGGGGGCAUGAAAUCACAAACAAUGAAAAAACAAAAAGGAAAAAUAAGAAAAAAAAUAUGAUAUAUUUAUUUUACCAUUUAAUGACAUAGUAGUAAGAAACUUUGUGUUCAUGGGUUUUGUUACACAGCAUUGUGUUUGUGACUACAUUUAUUGUCCUAGUGUCCCAGGAAAUGGAUACCCAUUCCAUAACUUCUCCUACUCCUGUCAGGCCAAACCUCCCAUAGCUGCUUUAACUAGGAGAGGCUGUAAGAACUGGUAGAUCCAACAUGUGCAUGAAUUCUGAGGGUGCUACUCAUUGUGUCAUUUGUGAAAUGCCACCAAGUUGUACAACCUCUCAUUCUCUGGUAACCAGCUAUGCCUGCCCAACCCACUAAAGCCAUCAGGGAGCAUGGCCAGUGAAUCACUAGGUAUGGGGAGACAUUGGAAAGCUGUCCUGACCUUGUGUGGUUCAAGCCUCCUGGAAGAAUGUGGGAUGGAGAGUGGCUCCUGCUCAUGCAGGAAGGACAGCCCUCUUGGUUCAGCUUUGAGUGCUAUAGGCACUUAGCAAGUCGUGGUAUCUGGGAUCACUACAGGACCCAAGAACAGGUGGGAUUUCAUCAUGCCUCUGGGGACCUCAUCUUCUGUGGAGCCUUGUGGGGGCCUGGGUUCACUUCAUGGCACUAUUUCUCUGAGGUUUGAAGGGUUUUGGAUAUAGAGAUGAACGGUAAAAAUUUUUGUACGUUUGUCAAAUUUGAACAAAGCAAGCACCUGAAGCAAUGCAAUGCAUUGCUCAUAUGAGUGAGUUAAAAGAGCCAGAUCAUAAGUUGUUUACCUUGAUUUUAUGUAUUUUCUGAUUUUAUAAUUUAAUAACAAAUAUAAUAAAUUUUAUCACUCUUUAAAAAAGUAUUGUCCUCAGUAACCAUUUUCCCACGGGAACAUUUUGAAAUAAUGAGAUAUAUAUUAAACCACAGCAAAGGAUAUUUAAAAAAAACAAGUUUGAUGAGGGUGUAAAUAAGAAAUUUUACAGUGUUAGGGGAAAAUAAUAAAGAAUUCCAGGAAUUAAUAAAGAAUUCCAUGUGGGUCACGUGAUGUAUCCUGGGAUUUCAUGGAUGUAGGGACAUAGUUUCGCCUUCCCCCUGAGUUAUCAGAUCUCUUGCUCCUCAGGUGGCCCAGGUGUUUGGGACUAGUUUUUUCCAUUCCAGGGUCAUAGAAACUACUCUUUCCUCUGCCUCAAGUUCACUGUCCAUGGGAGCAGCCCCUGAAGGCUGUAUACACAGGUGUAUGCACAGGAGAAUUUCCUCCUGAAGGACAGUUGUAGACAUUGGGCCCACAGACAAUACCCUCAGCAGAGGACAGCAAACAGGUCUCAGUGCUCCCUGACCUGAACCCCUGGGAAGGUCAGAUCCCAGGGUCACGUUUCAGGGCCUGAGAAGCGUUCUAUUCCUGUAUUCCUCCCCCGCAGUGAGACCCUACUUUUUCUCUGUGUCUCCCCGUGACCUUGUACCUGUUUCUGUUUUGCAGAUUCCUGUAUGGACACCUGGGGGCUGGGAGGAUCUGGAGCUUCCUGAGUAAUGGGAAGCACGAAUGAAGCAUUAAGGUCAAAGUACAGGAGCAAUUUCCUGCUUGUUCUCUCCAUAGUUUAAAUUAGAUGCAGUUUAUUUUAACUUGUAUAGUCUAAAUGUUAAUUUUGAAAAUGAGUGCAAUAUUUAAUAUUGAUGUUUUAUGCUAAAUAACAGACACUUGCUACCAAUUGAUUUUAAAGAUUUUUUCCAUAAAAUAAAAAUGUAUCAUAGAAAAACACCUCUGUA